UACGGGGGGGGCAAGCGUUGUUCGGAAUUACUGGGCGUAAAGGGCGCGUAGGCGGUCAGACCAAGUCGAGUGUGAAAUUCCAGGGCUUAACUCUGGCGCGCUCGCUCGAUACUGGUCGGCUAGAGUGUGGAAGAGGAUGCUGGAAUUCCUGGUGUAGCGGUGAAAUGCGUAGAUAUUCGCAAGAACACCAGUGGCGAAGGCGGCUCACUGGCCCGAGUACUGACGCUGAGGCACGAAAGCGUGGGGAGCAAACAGGGAUUAAGAAACCCCUG
rnacentral:rRNA from 1 species